GAGGUUGUAGCUCAGUGGUACAGCACGUGCCUAGCAUGUGCAAGGCGCUGGGUUCCAUUCUCAGCACCACG
rnacentral:tRNA from 1 species